UCUGUUCCUUUACUCUCUCUUCCCAAACUUCCAAGGCUAUGACUAUGAGAUUCAGCCCUAUGACUUGGCUCUUCUCUACUUUGUUGGGCUCUAUGCUUAUGGUCAUAUGGCUAUAUGGCUAGUUAGUAUCUUUGUACCAACUUUCAUUGCUAAGCAUAUAUAGCUGUGUCCCUGUCUUCGAAUAAAAUGAAGGUUGUUUUGUUUUUGUGUGACCUUGUAAUUUGCACUGUAGGGCAGUGCCAGCUUUCCGAAAUGCUUUGUAGUCUGUACAGAUUCCACGUUGGGUGUGUUGUCUGGCCCCCCCUCUGCUUUUCUAGUCUUGUGACACUUCACGAAUUGACAAUAUGAUACCAACAAAUGGCACAUAAGUUUUACCGAAGACAAGAGGAAGAAGAAGAAGAAGAAUAGUUGAGCAGUCAGAUGGAUGAUAAUUUUAUUUUUUACCAUUGCUAGCUAUUUAGCCAUUUCAAUUUUGUAUGAAAAUGGUGUAUGAUGUGUAUGGGGUCAAGACAUUUUUUAACUACAUGAAGGGGUGCAACUUUCGGAUUAAUUGUAAUAACUCUUAAAAUUAAGGGUAAAA